GCUACUGUGUGUGUGCGCACGCCGCGCCCGGGGAUUGCGCGGGGCGCGGCGGGCAAAGUGUGUAUGAAUAACGCCUUCGGGUUGUAGACUUCUUUUUGUAAAAGAGGAAGGGGUUGAAGUAAAUAACCUCAUUAAUUGACGUUACCCGCGAAAGAACCACCGGCUACUCCGUGCCAGCUCCCGGGGUAAUAAAAAGGUAAUA
rnacentral:rRNA from 1 species